rnacentral:rRNA from 1 species
GAUGAACGCUGACAGAAUGCUUAACACAUCAGCAAUUGAUUGGUGGCGGACGGGUGAGUAACGCGUAUAGAACUUGCCUCCCAGCUAGGGACAACAUUUGGAAACGAAUGCUAAUACCUAAUCCUGUGGGAGAGCUUUGCGUCCCAUUAGCUAGUUGGAGAGGUAACGGCUCACCAAGGCGAGGAUGGGUAGCCGGCCUGAGAGGGUGAUCGGGCACAAAGUGACUGAGAAACGGGCCUUACGCCUACGGGGGGAAGGAGUGGGGAAUAUAGGACAAUGGACCAAAGUCUGAUGAAGCAAUUCGGUGUGUAAGAUGAAGUUUUCGGAAUGAAAAGUGAUUUCAGUUGGGAAGUGGUACCAACAGAAGAAGUGACGGCUAAAUACGUGCCAGCAGCCGCGGUAAUAC